UACGAAGGGGGCUAGCGUUGUUCGGAAUUACUGGGCGUAAAGGGCGCGUAGGCGGCGUGUCAAGUCAGGCGUGAAAGCCCCGGGCUCAACCUGGGAACCGCGCUUGAGACUGGCAUGCUCGAGUUCGGGAGAGGAUGGUGGAAUUCCCAGUGUAGAGGUGAAAUUCGUAGAUAUUGGGAGGAACACCGGUGGCGAAGGCGGCUACCUGGACCGGUACUGACGCUGAGGCGCGAAAGCUAGGGUAGCAAACAGG
rnacentral:rRNA from 1 species